CCUACGGGUGGCAGCAGUGGGGAAUAUUGGACAAUGGGGGGAACCCUGAUCCAGCGACGCCGCGUGAGUGAAGAAGUAUUUCGGUAUGGUAAGCUCUAUCAGCAGGGAAGCAAGAAAUGACGGUACCUGACUGAGAAGCCCCGGCUAACUACGUGCCAGCAGACGCGGGAAUACGUAGGGGGCAAUCGUUAUCCGGAUUUACUGGGUGUAAAGGUAGCGUGGGCGGUUGUGCAAGUCUGGAGGGAAAGGCGGGGGCCCAACCCCCGGACUGCCUUGGAAACUGUAUAACUGGAGUGCAGGAGAGGUAAGUGGAAUGCCUAGUGUAGCGGUGAAAUGCGUAGAUAUUAGGCGGAACACCAGUGGCGAAGGCGGCUUACUGGACUGUAACUGACGCUGAGGCUCGAAAGCGUGGGGAGCAAACAGGAUUAGAUACCCUUGUAGUC
rnacentral:rRNA from 1 species